GAUUUUUUCCUCCCUCAACUGUCAAUCUUUCCGUCUCCCUUCUCAACAAAUGAAUGUCCAGUUGCUUUUCGAACAAUUAAUGGUAGAUCGACAAUCGAAUGGACUGGAUUCUCUUCUUUGAUUUGGACACCAAAUUAUGGAUAAUCUCAUAGUUUGGCCACCGGAAGAAAUAGGAUAGCCGAAGAGCAACAUGUUACUGAAACAGAGAGGAUUAGUGACAGGCAACAUCAAGAAAACUUGACAGCUAAGAAGACAUUGCUGCAAAAUGAGGGUAUGCGAAAUAAAUACUAUGGACUUCAGUUCUGCUCAACCGCUUUGUCAAUGUAUUUCUCGACUUGGAUCUAGCACCAGUUAUAAUGGGAGAUGAUUUUGGUGACCACUACUGCUCUGAGUUGUGAUGCCAAAAGCAAUUUUCAGGCUGUUAUCGAGUCGUGUUUGAUUCUCUAAGUCCAAUCAAGCACUUUGCUUCCUUGCUGGUGCUUAUUCAGUCUUCACCAGCGAUUUUUUUUUGGCAGCUUUCAGCAAUGAUUUUGAUGCAGAGCAAAUGAUUUUUAAGGUUCUAUGAUUGACACAAUUUCAAGAAUCAGCUGCCUCAUAAUCAUAGUUCGUGUGAUAAAUUAAUAUUAUUUAUAAAUGCAAGUCAUAUUGCAAAAUCUCAGUUUCUGUAGGAAUUGGGAAACCUCUAGCUUUUAUUACCUUUUUUCUCACAACACCUGGACAUUUCCCUGCAUGUAAUAUUGUGAAACUCUGAUAUCAUUCGGGCAAGUAAAAUAAUGGAAUUUUCUGUAUACUUUUAAUUGAUAGAUUCUAAGUAGCUGAAGCAGGGGAAAGUACUUCUGCGAAAAUGUAGAUAAG